rnacentral:rRNA from 1 species
GACGAACGCUGGCGGCGUGCUUAACACAUGCAAGUCGAACGGAAAGGCCCUGCUUUUGUGGGGUGCUCGAGUGGCGAACGGGUGAGUAACACGUGAGUAACCUGCCCUUGACUUUGGGAUAACUUCAGGAAACUGGGGCUAAUACCGGAUAGGAGCUCCUGCUGCAUGGUGGGGGUUGGAAAGUUUCGGCGGUUGGGGAUGGACUCGCGGCUUAUCAGCUUGUUGGUGGGGUAGUGGCUUACCAAGGCUUUGACGGGUAGCCGGCCUGAGAGGGUGACCGGCCACAUUGGGACUGAGAUACGGCCCAGACUCCUACGGGAGGCAGCAGUGGGGAAUAUUGCACAAUGGGCGGAAGCCUGAUGCAGCAACGCCGCGUGCGGGAUGACGGCCUUCGGGUUGUAAACCGCUUCCGCCUGUGACGAAGCGUGAGUGACGGUAAUGGGUAAAGAAGCACCGGCUAACUACGA